rnacentral:lncRNA from 12 species
AUUACUUCCAAAUGAAACAAUCUUGAACUACUCUAUUUUGAGUGAUUUCAGGAAGUUGAAAAAGUUGAGGUGAUUAUUCUUUUUACAAGCUGGCUGUGCAGUUACAGACCACAGUCGAAAAGUUUGAAUUCCUUGUCAAAAUCCAAAGUGGUUUUAGUUAAAAUAUAUUGCCUAACUUACCCAAUCCAUCAUCUUCUGAAUUAAUGCCAUGGAAACAUCUAGGAUUAUUAAUUAUUAGGACCACACUUCAGAGCAGGGGAGGACACAACAUGGGCAUGAAGUACUUGAACGUUACCAGUACUUUGCUACAGGAAGGAAGCCGUCACCCCUGGAUCGCGUGCUACCGUCAGGAAGAUGGGUUAGGGAGUGCCGAGCAUAAAGAAACAGCCAAGAAGAUGCAAAACCAAGAGCCUGUCAACCAUUGCUGCAGUUACGGACACCUGGAAAAAUUGAGGCUUGUGCUCACCAUCCGAGCAUCUCUGGAAAAUGAGAAGAAAUAAAAUGGCAACCGUGUUGGGAUGCCCCACACCAAGAUGUAGGCAUCAAUGGUGAUUGCUCAUCUGGCAACACGUGAAGAGAUACCCCGUAAGUGGAUGGUAGUCUUAUUUCCAGGGAGGGUUUUAUUUUUAUUAGUCUUUUUGUAGGAAGGAAACAAAAACCAUACCUUCACAUUUUCUAAAAAUAAGCCUUUCCACUCCUUAAGUAGCAUUGUUAUUUAUAGGUCUGCCAUUUUUCUGUUAUUUAGUGAAUGUUUCAAUUAACAUUUACGUUAUAAAAAUAUUCAUGUAGCAAUUACAACUUUUCAGAAACCAAUGAACUGCAAGUAUAGCUACUUCCUAUUUAUAAACCACUUUUGUAAUAUCUUUAGGAGCUGCUCAUCUUUUGUAAAAGAUUUGAGUCAUAAAAAAUGCAAAGCACAGUAAGUACUGAUGUGGUGCUUUUCAUUCCAAGCGCUUUAUGGUGAUAACUUAUUCAGGCCACCUCUGUAAAGGUCACAUUGAUGACAGUACCCACUAGACCAGAACAGUAUUGCAUCCCUGGGGGGGUCCAGGUCUCUAGGGCAUGCUUGACUGAACCAGCACAUUAACACCUGGGUAUUUUUCACACAAAAUUCUUGAAUCUUUUCUUGCCACAUGUAAUAAUACCUAAAUGCCAACAAGAGUAAUAUCUUAAUCCUACCCUAAAGACUUAGAUCAAGUAUGUCAUAGAUUCUUCUUAAUAUCCAUCUGGGUAUAUUAUAUAUGAAUGCUUUUUUUUUUUUUAAAGAAAAUUGUUUGUUGAGUCUUUUGAGAUGUUUUAUUUUCUUUCUGGUUCCACGAAGAUUAUUUUAUUCUAGCGCAGCUCGCCUUGGUAAUCAGACACCGGCUUCACUUUUUGGAGAGAGGAUCUAUCUAAGUUCUGUUUCGUCAAGGAUGUGCCUAGGAAUGACCAUUUUUGAUCUUAUCAUUGACAUGAGAAUUAAAAGGGUAAAACACUAAGACUGCUGACAAGAGUAAUAUUUCGCGUUUGAGCUGAGCAUUCCACCAAACGAUUUAUUUCAUGAAUUGAAAAGGACCUCUCCUUUCAAUGUGGAAAGACAUUAUGGGAUAAGGAGGAACAGGGCAUCAUUCACAUGAUUCUGGAAUUUGUAUUUGAGCUAAAAAAUUCCAAUGAAGAGUUUUGACCUUGGUCUUCAUUCUUUGUUAUGGCUGAAUAAUAUUCCAUAGCUUACAUACACCACGUCUUCUUUAUCCAUUCAUCUAUCAAUGGACAUUUGGGCUGCUUCCAUAAUUUGACUAUUGUAGCUAAAACUGCUAUAAACAUAGGAGUGCAUGGAUCCCCUUGAAAAAUUUGAGUUUUAAAAAACUGCAAUAAUGUCACUCAUAAAUAUUUAAUUAUCUUUACUUUCGAUGAGGCGUGGUAUGGUUAAAACAAACAUUUUUUUCCUCAAUGAAUAUUGAUUGGUAUGAAUAAGAACAAGAUGUCUCCAUAAAUGAUAAUUUUACAUUUAAAAUGACAGUGAUAUAUUUGCACUAUGUUUAGUAAUGGAUAACGGUUACAAAGAGUGAUCUAUUUAGUUUUUAAAUAAAAUAUAGAAGGAGUUAAAAUGAGAAGUGACA